CUAGUCCUACGGGAGGCAGCAGUCGGGAAUAUUGCGCAAUGGAGGAAACUCUGACGCAGUGACGCCGCGUAUAGGAAGAAGGUUUUCGGAUUGUAAACUAUUGUCGUUAGGGAAGAAAAAAGACAGUACCUAAGGAGGAAGCUCCGGCUAACUACGUGCCAGCAGCCGCGGUAAUACGUAGGGAGCAAGCGUUAUCCGGAUUUACUGGGUGUAAAGGGCGUGUAGGCGGGCCUGCAAGUCAGAAGUGAAAUCUGGGGGCUUAACCCCCAAACUGCUUUCGAAACUGUGGGUCUUGAGUGAUGGAG
rnacentral:rRNA from 1 species